rnacentral:rRNA from 2 species
GAACGCUGGCGGCGUGCCUAAUACAUGCAAGUCGAACGAACUCUGGUAUUGAUUGGUGCUUGCAUCAUGAUUUACAUUUGAGUGAGUGGCGAACUGGUGAGUAACACGUGGGAAACCUGCCCAGAAGCGGGGGAUAACACCUGGAAACAGAUGCUAAUACCGCAUAACAACUUGGACCGCAUGGUCCGAGUUUGAAAGAUGGCUUCGGCUAUCACUUUUGGAUGGUCCCGCGGCGUAUUAGCUAGAUGGUGGGGUAACGGCUCACCAUGGCAAUGAUACGUAGCCGACCUGAGAGGGUAAUCGGCCACAUUGGGACUGAGACACGGCCCAAACUCCUACGGGAGGCAGCAGUAGGGAAUCUUCCACAAUGGACGAAAGUCUGAUGGAGCAACGCCGCGUGAGUGAAGAAGGGUUUCGGCUCGUAAAACUCUGUUGUUAAAGAAGAACAUAUCUGAGAGUAACUGUUCAGGUAUUGACGGUAUUUAACCAGAAAGCCACGGCUAACUACGUGCCAGCAGCCGCGGUAAUACGUAGGUGGCAAGCGUUGUCCGGAUUUAUUGGGCGUAAAGCGAGCGCAGGCGGUUUUUUAAGUCUGAUGUGAAAGCCUUCGGCUCAACCGAAGAAGUGCAUCGGAAACUGGGAAACUUGAGUGCAGAAGAGGACAGUGGAACUCCAUGUGUAGCGGUGAAAUGCGUAGAUAUAUGGAAGAACACCAGUGGCGAAGGCGGCUGUCUGGUCUGUAACUGACGCUGAGGCUCGAAAGUAUGGGUAGCAAACAGGAUUAGAUACCCUGGUAGUCCAUACCGUAAACGAUGAAUGCUAAGUGUUGGAGGGUUUCCGCCCUUCAGUGCUGCAGCUAACGCAUUAAGCAUUCCGCCUGGGGAGUACGGCCGCAAGGCUGAAACUCAAAGGAAUUGACGGGGGCCCGCACAAGCGGUGGAGCAUGUGGUUUAAUUCGAAGCUACGCGAAGAACCUUACCAGGUCUUGACAUACUAUGCAAAUCUAAGAGAUUAGACGUUCCCUUCGGGGACAUGGAUACAGGUGGUGCAUGGUUGUCGUCAGCUCGUGUCGUGAGAUGUUGGGUUAAGUCCCGCAACGAGCGCAACCCUUAUUAUCAGUUGCCAGCAUUAAGUUGGGCACUCUGGUGAGACUGCCGGUGACAAACCGGAGGAAGGUGGGGAUGACGUCAAAUCAUCAUGCCCCUUAUGACCUGGGCUACACACGUGCUACAAUGGAUGGUACAACGAGUUGCGAACUCGCGAGAGUAAGCUAAUCUCUUAAAGCCAUUCUCAGUUCGGAUUGUAGGCUGCAACUCGCCUACAUGAAGUCGGAAUCGCUAGUAAUCGCGGAUCAGCAUGCCGCGGUGAAUACGUUCCCGGGCCUUGUACACACCGCCCGUCACACCAUGAGAGUUUGUAACACCCAAAGUCGGUGGGGUAACCUUUUAGGAACCAGCCGCC